rnacentral:rRNA from 1 species
UACGUAGGGUGCAAGCGUUAUCCGGAAUUAUUGGGCGUAAAGAGCUCGUAGGCGGUUUGUCGCGUCUGCUGUGAAAACUGGAGGCUCAACCUCCAGCCUGCAGUGGGUACGGGCAGACUAGAGUGCGGUAGGGGAGACUGGAAUUCCGUGGUGUAGACGGUGAAAUGCGCAGAUAGUCAGGAGGAACACCGGUGGCGGAAGGCGGGUCGCUGGGCCGUGAAGCUGACGAC